rnacentral:rRNA from 1 species
CCCAGACUCCUACGGGAGGCAGCAGUGGGGAAUAUUGCACAAUGGGGGAAACCCUGAUGCAGCGACGCCGCGUGAGUGAAGAAGUCAUUCGUGAUGUAAAGCUCUAUCAGCAGGGAAGAAAAUGACGGUACCUGACCAAGAAGCCCCGGCUAACUACGUGCCAGCAGCCGCGGUAAUACGUAGGGGGCAAGCGUUAUCCGGAAUUACUGGGUGUAAAGGGAGCGUAGACGGUAAUGCAAGUCUGGAGUGAAAGGCGGGGGCCCACCCCCCGGACUGCUCUGGAAACUGUGUAACUGGAGUGCAGGAGAGGCAGGCGGAAUUCCUAGGGUAGCGGUGAAAUGCGUAGAUAUUAGGAGGAACACCAGUGGCGAAGGCGGCCUGCUGGACUGUAACUGACGUUGAGGCUCGAAAGCGUGGGGAGCAAACAGGAUUAGAUACCCGGGUA